AUGGCUUCAUUCGGUUCCAGGACGAGGCCGGUGUGCGCGGACCAAGAGGACAUGCAGAAGACGUGGAUGGAGGCCAGUUUGGACAAGGAGAAGGAGAAGGAUGUUCCCACACCAUCAUGUUGGUGUGCUGAUGUUUGCAAGCUGAAGGUGUCCACUGACCGCAACAAGUCAUGGAUAGAAGGUAGAAGGUUUUUCGUGUGUCCCAACUAUGCACAUGAUCGUCGAAGGCCAACUAACGCAUAUGACAUACCACCGGUAUGUUAG
rnacentral:rRNA from 1 species